GGCCCUGUGACCCAACGGUAGCGCAUCUGACUCCAGAUUAGAAGGUUGACCGUUCGAAUCGGGCCGGGGUCA
rnacentral:tRNA from 1 species